GCUGUGAUGGCCGAGUGGUUAAGGCGUUGGAUUUGAAAUCCAAUGGGGUUACCCUGCACAGGUUCGAAUCCUGUUCCCAGUG
rfam:Xenopus tropicalis strain Nigerian scaffold_5802_contig_1, whole genome shotgun sequence.